GCACUGAUCAACCCCGUCUCUCUGAAACUCCGGCUGCCCCGCAACAUGAGGAUUCACAAUGUGUUCCACGUCUCCCAAAUCAAACCUGUACAGAAUAGCCCCCUGUGCCCUCCUUCCGGGCCCCCUCCGCCCGCCCGGCUUGUGGACGGCUUGCCCGCCUAUUCCAUCACGCGGAUUAUGGACUCUCGCCGCCGCGGGCGUGGCUUCCAGUACCUUGUGGACUGGGAGGGCUAUGGCAUUGAGGAGCGGUCCUGGGUUCCGCGGGCCGCUGUCCUGGACAAGCGUAUGCUGCGGGCCUUCCAUCUGUCUCAUCCUGCUGAUUACUGCACUACUUAGAUGGCGAGUCUGCACUAGUCUUCGCUGGAUCGUUGAACUAUCAGCAUCGUUUUUGGAACCGGAUUCUGAGAGGAGUGACUGAGGAGG
ensembl:lncRNA